rnacentral:rRNA from 1 species
GGUUAAGCAGUAAAUGUGGAGCCGUAGCGAAAGCGAGUCUGAAUAGGGCGUUUAGUAUUUGGUCGUAGACCCGAAACCAGGUGAUCUACCCUUGGUCAGGUUGAAGUUCAGGUAACACUGAAUGGAGGACCGAACCGACUUACGUUGAAAAGUGAGCGGAUGAACUGAGGGUAGCGGAGAAAUUCCAAUCGAACCUGGAGAUAGCUGGUUCUCUCCGAAAUAGCUUUAGGGCUAGCCUCAAGUGAUGAUUAUUGGAGGUAGAGCACUGUUUGGACGAGGGGCCCCUCUCGGGUUACCGAAUUCAGACAAACUCCGAAUGCCAAUUAAUUUAACUUGGGAGUCAGAACAUGGGUGAUAAGGUCCGUGUUCGAAAGGGAAACAGCCCAGACCACCAGCUAAGGUCCCAAAAUAUAUGUUAAGUGGAAAAGGAUGUGGCGUUGCCCAGACAACUAGGAUGUUGGCUUAGAAGCAGCCAUCAUUUAAAGAGUGCGUAAUAGCUCACUAGUCGAGUGACACUGCGCCGAAAAUGUACCGGGGCUAAACAUAUUACCGAAGCUGUGGAUUGUCCUUUGGACAAUGGUAGGAGAGCGUUCUAAGGGCGUUGAAGCAUGAUCGUAAGGACAUGUGGAGCGCUUAGAAGUGAGAAUGCCGGUGUGAGUAGCGAAAGACGGGUGAGAAUCCCGUCCACCGAUUGACUAAGGUUUCCAGAGGAAGGCUCGUCCGCUCUGGGUUAGUCGGGUCCUAAGCUGAGGCCGACAGGCGUAGGCGAUGGAUAACAGGUUGAUAUUCCUGUACCACCUAUAAUCGUUUUAAUCGAUGGGGGGACGCAGUAGGAUAGGCGAAGCGUGCGAUUGGAUUGCACGUCUAAGCAGUAAGGCUGAGUAUUAGGCAAAUCCGGUACUCA